GCCAUGCAGGUGUUUAGAGCCUUCACGACCACCAGCAAGGCUGUCGAGGGCAGGGCCACCGAGCUCCACAAGUGGCAGCUUGUGGCUCAUGCAGCCUGGUGAGGCAGAGAGCACUGGCCAGGACAGCUCCAGCCCAAGCUCUAAACGGAGGAGGAAGCAGGUGGGCCGUACUCAGGCCGGUCCUCACUCAGGCCUAGUCUAGGAGGCAGACAGGCCUGGCCUUGGUCCCAGCCUGUCACUUGCUGGCGAUGUGGUCCUCUCAGAGCCUGUUCCCUCAUCUUGGGAAUGAGGUACACCAAGCCUCCCAUUAUCCCACUGGAGUGAGAGUGAGGAUGACAGCUCUCAAUCCAGCAGCUCAGAGUAAACCCUCCUGAUGUGAAACCAAAAGUUUCUCCAAGAGAACCUGUCCAGCCUGGAGCAAAGUUCUAGAAGUAUGGACACUGGGGAUUUCCCCAAAGAAGCUCAAUGAGAUCACCUUACAAUCACAUAUUCUUUUUAAUACUCCACUCUUAAAUAUAAGCAAGAUUACCAACGAUUGCCAGGCAGCUAAAGAAAGUCUGUAACAUGAAAGAUUAAAUUGAAGAACAGAAAGCAGAAAGACAUAUGCAGGGAGAUGAAAGCUUCUACAGAGCAUAUUAAUAUCCUCAAAGAUGUUGCAACAAGGAACAAGGUACUGUCCCUAUAUAUCUACGUAUAUAAAGGAACAAUCAGAGAAUCAACUUGGAGUAAUCCUCCAUAAAUUAUGAUCAAAAGAAAAGAAAAUUGGGGUUGGGGCACACAGGGAGGAGAGGUAAUUCUGGGUCCACCAUCUGAGUAACAGAAAUUCCAGAAAGAAAAACCACAGACAGCCGGGCCUGGUGGCUCACGCCUGUAAUCCCAGCACUUUGGGAGGCCAAGGCAGGUGGAUCACCCGAGGUCACGAGUUUGAGACCAGCCUGACCAACAUGGUGAAAAUCUGCCUCUACUAAAAAUACAAAAAAUUAGCCGGGUGUUGGGGCAGGUGCCUGUAAUCCCAGUUACUUGGGAGGCUGAGGCAGGAGAAUUGCUUGAACACCGGAGGCAAAGGUUGCAGUGAGCCGAGAUGGCACCAUUUCACUCCAGCCUGGGCAACAAGCGUGAAACUCAGUCUUUAAAAAAAAAAAGAAAAAGAAAAACCACAGACAACCUAAGGAAGAAAAUCACUGAGAAUGAAUUCAAGAAAGUUUCCCAGAAAUUAAGGACAAGAGUUCACUCGGAAAGGGGCCUGGCAUGGAAACAGACCUUCGCCAAGGCAGGUAUUAAUACGUCAUUCUGAAAUUUUGGAACACUGAUAACAGAAGGGAAAAAAAAAAAAGUCAUAUAAAAAGGAUCUGGACUCUGGCCGGGUGCGGUGGCUCACGCCUGUAAUCCCAGCACUUUGGGAGGCCGAGGUGGGUGGAUCACACAGUCAGGAGAUCGAGAC
rnacentral:lncRNA from 1 species